GUGUGUGAUUGUGUGUUGUAUCCCUGUGUGGGUGUGAGCAUGUCCUGUCCGUGUGUGGUUGUUCAUCUGUGGGCAGUUGUGUGUUGUAUCUCUGUGUGGGUGUGAGUGUGUCAUGUCCAUGUGUGGUUGUUCAUCCAUGUGCAGGUGUGUGCCAUGUCCGUGUGUGGUUGUUCAUCUGUGGGCAGUUGUGUGUUGUAUCCCUGUGCGGGUGUGAGUG